rnacentral:rRNA from 1 species
AAUGAACGCUGGCGGCAUGCUUUACACAUGCAAGUCGAACGGUAACAGGUUAAGCUGACGAGUGGCGAACGGGUGAGUAAUGCAUCGGAACGUGCCCGAUCGUGGGGGAUAACGCAGCGAAAGCUGCGCUAAUACCGCAUACGAUCUGAGGAUGAAAGCGGGGGACCGUAAGGCCUCGCGCGAUCGGAGCGGCCGAUGUCAGAUUAGGUAGUUGGUGGGGUAAAGGCUCACCAAGCCAACGAUCUGUAGCUGGUCUGAGAGGACGACCAGCCACACUGGGACUGAGACACGGCCCAGACUCCUACGGGAGGCAGCAGUGGGGAACUUUGGACAAUGGGCGAAAGCCUGAUCCAGCAAUGCCGCGUGCAGGAAGAAGGCCUUCGGGUUGUAAACUGCUUUUGUACGGAGCGAAAAGGCUUUCUCUAAUACAGGGGGCUCAUGACGGUACCGUAAGAAUAAGCACCGGCUAACUACGUGCCAGCAGCCGCCGCAGUAA